rnacentral:rRNA from 1 species
GACGAACGCUGGCGGCGCGCCUAACACAUGCAAGUCGAACGAGCGAGAGAGAGCUUGCUUUCUCAAGCGAGUGGCGAACGGGUGAGUAACGCGUGAGGAACCUGCCUCAAAGAGGGGGACAACAGUUGGAAACGACUGCUAAUACCGCAUAAGCCCACGACCCGGCAUCGGGUAGAGGGAAAAGGAGCAAUCCGCUUUGAGAUGGCCUCGCGUCCGAUUAGCUAGUUGGUGAGGUAACGGCCCACCAAGGCGGCGAUCGGUAGCCGGACUGAGAGGUUGAACGGCCAAAUUGGGACAGGGACACGGCCCAGACCCCUACGGGGGGGCGCAGGGGGGAAUAUGGAACAAUGGGGGAAACCCUGAGGCAGCGGGGCCGGGUGGAGGAAGAAGGUCUUCGGAUUGUAAACUCCUGUUGUUGAGGAAGAUAAUGACGUAACUAAAAAAGGAAGUGCGGGCAAACUACGU